AUUGUCUUGGCAGAGUAUGCAUUAGAUUUAGGAUCUAAUUAUAUAAUUUUAUAAUUAUAGAUAAUA
rnacentral:tRNA from 1 species